GACGGAAGGUGCAAGCGUUGCUCGGAAUUACUGGGCGUAAAGCGUGCGUAGGUGGUUCGUUAAGUCUGUCGUGAAAGCCCCGGGCUCAACCUGGGAAUGGCGAUGGAUACUGGCGGGCUAGAGUGCGGUAGAGGGUGGUGGAAUUCCCGGUGUAGCAGUGAAAUGCGUAGAGAUCGGGAGGAACAUCAGUUGCGAAGGCGGCCACCUGGACCAGCACUGACACUGAGGCACGAAAGCGUGGGGAGCAAACAGG
rnacentral:rRNA from 1 species